UACACCACAAUUUACCUGAAGGUGUAAUGUAAUUGUUAUUGUAAACUACAAUGCAUAUUGGGUACCAGGGAGAUAAGCAAGAUGGCGGCGUCCACAGACGUGACAGAAGGUGGCCUGCCGGCGUCUGCGUUGCUUAUAAUAAACCUUUUUUGCGUUAUUCCCUGUGUGGUUCUCAAGAUUCCACAACUUUUGUCUCUCUACAAAUCAAAAUCUGCGAGGGGAGUCAGUUUGUCGAGUUUCAUUCUUGAGUUGAUUAGCUACACGAUUUUUGCCGUCUACAUGUUUGUGAAUUCUCAACCCAUCAUGCAGUAUGUGGAGUUUUUAUUUCUCAUUGUACAAGUAUGGGCUGUCAUUUUGAUGAUACUACACUACCUGGAUCAAGUUAACUUUAUCCUCCUUCCAUACAGUGCAUUAUAUUUUAUUGCUGUUUGGAUUGUUGCAUCCAGCGUGACUCCGCCAUGGUUCAUUAGUCUGUUGUUGACCUUAUCUACGCCCAUCUCAGCCAGUGGAAUGAUCAUCCAGAUUUUGGCAAUUUAUAGAAUCAAGGACUCUGGCUCAGUUAGUUUCUCAUCAUGGUUUAUAUCCUGGGCUACAGGAUUUUUACGACUGGUUACCUCCAUUAUAGCAGGGGAUAUGUUGGUUGUUUUCAGCUAUGUAUUCACAAACUCCCUGCGGGCUGUAGGUUGUAUUGUCAUUCUCUACUACCAACCAUCGGCCAAAAAGCUGACUUGACGAGAACAGUUCCUACAAGUGGAAUUAUUUCACCAACAGACUUUGCUUGCUGUCCAAGUGCAUCAAAGAGUUUUUAACAAGUCACAUUUGUGCAUAAGCCUGUAAGAACUCACAAUUCAGCGCCUGUGGCUGAAAGUCAGGAUGGCCAGAAUCAAGAAAACAGGAAAUAAAUGAAUACUGUGGUUUGGUCUCCGUAAACAGAGCACAGCAACAUAAAUGAAGUGUGGAUGAGUAUUGCCACGAAUUUUUGGAAAGAAUUCUAUAUAUAUAUAUGUCACUGAUUUUUUUCCCUUUAGUGACCUAUUUCUGAAAGCAACAAAGUGUCCUGGAAAGUCAAAUUUGGUCGGUAAAACGUCAAGAAUUAUUCAGAUCAGUCUCAUCUGGUUUGUGCAGAGGGUGUCAAGAGACAUCUGUAUGUGAAAUGCUUUCCUCCCAAAGUGUGUAGCAUUUGAAAUGCAUUACUCGCAAUGGCAAUCCCGCAAUGUACAUGUAAUUUGCCAGAAUUUCAAAUUAUCUUCACUCAGGAACAGAGGGCUUGGCCUUUCUGCAGUUGACCCUAACAGAGCUCAAUCCUCCCAUUUCAGUAUGAUAGGUUUUAAGCUGCAUGUACUUUACAAAUUUUGGUGGUCAGGUUGAUAUUCCAUUGUAAUGCCGGGUUGUAUUGGCCAGUUUCAGAAGUUUUAAAGGAACUUUAGGAAGUUUUAUCAGAGAUAUUUUCAUUUCAUUACUUCAAGAUGGUGGUUGCAUUACAUGGGAGGAUUUAUAUACUCAAUACAAGCAGCUGUAUUUUUAAUAAUGUUUUUAAAGACUGAUUCGUGGGCUCAAUUAUGGUGGUAGAAGUUCAUGUACAUGUCAGAUUUUGGCAUUAGUGUGGGGAAUGACCAUACAAAAAGGCACAUCCAAAAGUCACCACAACUUGGCACAAAUUUGUCUUCCAGAAAUCAAAUCCUACAUAUUUUCAUGACUAAAGGGUUGAAUGUAAUCAGUAAUAGGCACUACCAAAUGGAAAAUAUCUUUGACUAAAUACUGAUUAAAAUCCUGAAGAGGAAACAGUGGGGGCGGGGACAGUCUGACUGGAGGGAGUGCAUACUUAGUGCACUGUCAGGUGCAUGUAUGUAUAGUCUUAUUUGACAUACGCAAGGCGGAAUUCGAGUAUUAAAUCGAUGUGACUUUCUUAAGAAAUCACUUGCAUUAAGAACAGGGUGUAAAACUCUGAAUUUCUAUUUAUGCCAUCAGUAGCAUUCAUGAUACACACAGAAUAGCAAUUUACAAAUUUUAUCCAUUGUUACUUAAGAUCACACGUGGCCAUACAGUACAACCUUUGGGCACAUUAACAAGAGGAAGACGUGUGGCAUUUUGAAAAAAGGUUUCUUCUUUCUUAAAACUAUUCUUUUAUUUGCACAAAUGAUUACUUAUUACAGCAUUAGCCUCACUGUCCACUGAUGACUCAAGUCAUCAUUUCAGGAACUAAGAAACAGCAGUAUUAACUAACCAAAAGGAUCUACUCAAGGUUUAUUAUUUUAUCCUUAUUAGCUUUAAACCACUUAAUUCACAUGAAGAUUCCGAUAUCCUUUCCACAGACGACUGUGCUUUUUCCCAGUUGUUUCAAAAUUCCUGUGUAGUUCCAGCAUUUCACAUGCUCCUUUUCAAGAACACAUACACAUGGAGUUGAAUUUGCCUGUUUUCCUACAACACAAGGUUUUGUUGUGUAAACAAGGGUACCAAAACUAAUCAGUCCUGAAAUAACCACCACUGUAUUGCUUUGAAAUAUAGUUGAACCUCUUCUGAGGCAGCAGGAUUGUUUAGCCACUGGGCACACUCACAAAUUAUAUCAGUUCUAAUGUAACCUUAGUCAAGAUGUUUGUUAAGCCUGCUUUGUGCUAGCUUAACUUGGUGACCAACAUCUCUGCAUGCUCAUUGGCUGUGUACAGUGUGACCAUGAUAUGCAAAUCAGCUGAACACAGGUCCACCUGAUUUGCAUGGCAUAAUGGCUAUAUGAGGUCACUAUUUGCCCUUUAUAUUUAAACUGCACAGACUGCAGAUAGACAACUUGCUCCCCUGCUUGCACAUUGGUGUGUUGUGAAAGGUACAGCCACCUUGCUGGUAAGCUGCUUGCUGUAAGCUGGUAAGACAGCUGAUGACAAAGGCCUUGACCAAGGCUAGCCUUAAUGCAGAAACAGUCUGGUUACAUGCAUUCACCAUUACCUGGCAUCUUUGAGUGCUCAAUGGUCAUGUACAUGGAUUCAUAUACACAUGUUUGCCUUGGAAACAGAAGCUUACGUAACUUGCCAUUAUGGUUACUAUAUUGUCAAUGUUUGUUCGGUAGUUUAAUAUAAUGACGGGUUGGAUCACACAGUUUUAAUGCACACUUUAUAUUUGUAUUACAAAAGGAUAAAUAAAAAAUGUUUCUACCAAGUACAUGAUCUUGGGUUUUAAAAUGCAUUUAGAUUUAGGAUUUAAGGUCCACUAACACAGUGUAACUUGUAUGUCACAACUUUAGUUAGGACUAUCCCAACUACAUGUAUAGUGUUGCCAUGGUUGCAGUUGUAACAGCCCAACAACAUGUACCAAAAUUGCUGCAGUUAAUCAGCAAACCAUUCUCAUGGGCAAUACACGCUCAGAAGAAUGUAGUUUUUGUUGGUGUCCGAGGAGUUUUGCUGGAAGAGCCACAAAAACUGGAGAAUGAGAAACAUUUGUCAAAAUUUGCCAAGUAUACACAGAUGGGACAGUUCCAAACAAAGUUGAGACCAAUGCCAAUAUUACAUGCAUUUGAUUUUUACAAAUUAACAUAAAGCAUUUUUUAUUCCUUUGUGGUGCUAAACAGUUUAGUUACAUGUAGUUCUCCAGCUUUCUUCCAAGAUACAUUGGUUGAUUAAAUUAUUCCAUGGGAGAGCUGAAA
rnacentral:misc_RNA from 1 species